ACUGACUCAAGGCUGAGUGGUAGAGAUGCUCAUUUUCAAGUCGCACCAUGCAUUGGACUUCCCGACACAUCCCUUCUGUGCCCCAGAUCAUCACCUGUGACCUGUAUGCUUGGCCACCAGCCCACAGAAUACAUGCCCGGAGGUUUGUUUCCAUGGUGAUCCUAAGCCCCAUCAAGUUGAUGAUCAAGGUUAACCAUUACACGGCCCUAGAACUACAAUCCCAUCACAAAAAUCAACCUGAACAUUGGAAGAAGUGACACUGUCUGUCCGACUUUUUCUUCCCUCCCUCCCUCCCUCCCCCUCCCUUCCCCCUCUCUGUUAAUUGAGUAAAGCUGAAACCUUUACAGUCAGCACACUACACUGGUGAAUGACUCCCAGGGUCUCUGAUGCUGUGAUUGGCAGUCACAACACAUUCACAGCCAUCCUGUUGAUGGCAGGAAAUAGCAUUAGUAAUAGUGUUGUAUAAUUCUGAACAUUCAUGUGGAGACAGCACAGGGACAAACAUAUACACACAAGGGCACAAAUAGGCACACAUGGGUAAGCCAAUCACAGAGUGGUUGAGAGCCAAGGCUUUGGAGUCAGAUGGACCUGAGUGGGAGUCUUGGAUCUUCUGCCUGUUGGCUCUGCAAUUAUGGAGACUUGCCUAACUGCUCCUAGUCUUAUUUUUUCCUCAUCUAUAAAAAGUCCAGGAUUACGCCAGCAUUCCGUGGGAGCUCUGUGGACUCAAAGGACUAUAAAAUCAAAAGGAGGCACUAGCCAUGGGAAGUGGGCGGUAGUGGGCCAGUGAGUAACCUGGGGACUGUAGGCUGACACCUGUUUGCAACUAGGAUAUGGUGUAACCCACUCCGCCACUGCCCUGGAGGAAACUGCGCUUUAGUUUCCCAAACUGCCCAGUUGGUAUAGCCAUAAAGUCUACUUCAUAUGGGCCUCUAGAGAAUCACAUAAAUUAAUCCAUGUAGAGAACUCAGACGCUCGCCAAACCCAGCCUCAGCACUCAAUAGAUGCUUGCUAGUACUAUUACUAUUAUCCCAAAAUAUCUCAGAGCCAUCCCUUUCUAACAUCUUGCUUUGCAGAGUUUCUUGCAUCCAAUCUGUUUCUUUCCUAUCUAACAGAUUGCAUUUUUUUUUCUGAAAAAGGAGAGAAAGUAGUACUGUAGCAAGGACAGGGGAUAAAGGAGAGUCCACGUGACACACAACCAAGGAGAGAGGUCGGGGGUGUCAACAGGUGAACAAGAACAUAGAUAUGGAGAAGAGCAACUAAGACAGCCUCCGGAGAGUUGGACAAUGGAAGGGCUGGUGUUAGAUGCAAUACUUCACUGAGAUCUCGGUAGCUUUACACUCUCAGAUGGAAACUGAGCAAAGAAAACUGACCAAAUGGCAUGCUACUUUUCAAAAUCAGAAACCUCACAGAAAAUAAAUGAUACCCAACACGCA
rnacentral:lncRNA from 1 species